rnacentral:rRNA from 2 species
GGGACACGUGGUAUCCUGUCUGAAUAUGGGGGGACCAUCCUCCAAGGCUAAAUACUCCUGACUGACCGAUAGUGAACCAGUACCGUGAGGGAAAGGCGAAAAGAACCCCGGCGAGGGGAGUGAAAAAGAACCUGAAACCGUGUACGUACAAGCAGUGGGAGCCUCUUUAUGGGGUGACUGCGUACCUUUUGUAUAAUGGGUCAGCGACUUAUAUUCUGUAGCAAGGUUAACCGAAUAGGGGAGCCGAAGGGAAACCGAGUCUUAACUGGGCGUUAAGUUGCAGGGUAUAGACCCGAAACCCGGUGAUCUAGCCAUGGGCAGGUUGAAGGUUGGGUAACACUAACUGGAGGACCGAACCGACUAAUGUUGAAAAAUUAGCGGAUGACUUGUGGCUGGGGGUGAAAGGCCAAUCAAACCGGGAGAUAGCUGGUUCUCCCCGAAAGCUAUUUAGGUAGCGCCUCGUGAAUUCAUCUCCGGGGGUAGAGCACUGUUUCGGCAAGGGGGUCAUCCCGACUUACCAACCCGAUGCAAACUGCGAAUACCGGAGAAUGUUAUCACGGGAGACACACGGCGGGUGCUAACGUCCGUCGUGAAGAGGGAAACAACCCAGACCGCCAGCUAAGGUCCCAAAGUCAUGGUUAAGUGGGAAACGAUGUGGGAAGGCCCAGACAGCCAGGAUGUUGGCUUAGAAGCAGCCAUCAUUUAAAGAAAGCGUAAUAGCUCACUGGUCGAGUCGGCCUGCGCGGAAGAUGUAACGGGGCUAAACCAUGCACCGAAGCUGCGGCAGCGACGCUUAUGCGUUGUUGGGUA